AACGAACGCUGGCGGCAGGCCUAACACAUGCAAGUCGAACGGGACCUUCGGGUCUAGUGGCGGACGGGUGAGUAACGCGUGGGAACGUGCCCUUUGGUUCGGAAUAGCCCCGGGAAACUGGGAGUGAUACCGGAUAAGCCCUACGGGGGAAAGAUUUAUCGCCAAAGGAUCGGCCCGCGUUGGAUUAGGUAGUUGGUGAGGUAAUGGCUCACCAAGCCGACGAUCCAUAGCUGGUUUGAGAGGAUGAUCAGCCACACUGGGACUGAGACACGGCCCAGAUCCCUCCGGGAGGCAGCAGGGGGGAAUCUUAGACAAGGGGGAAAACCCUGAUCGAGCCAUGCGGCGUGAUGGAUGAGGGCCUUAGGUUUGUAAAGAUCUUUCAGGGGGGAAGAUAAUGACUGUACCCACAGAAGAAGCCCCGGCUAACUCCGUGCCAGCCGCCGCAGUAA
rnacentral:rRNA from 1 species